GGACACUGGAAAGAGGCCUUCUCUGGAGGCUGAUGUUGUCAAGGGAUGCCUGUCACGCUACAAAGAAGAGGGGUAGGACACAACAGUGAGAAGAUGUACAUAACUGGUGACGGGCAUGGACGAGACAAUACAGAACAGAAAGAAAUCCAGUUCAAUAACCUACAUCUAUCCCUUUAAUUUAUAAUUUUGGUUAUGCCAUUCUUCCUGCUGAGUUCGUUUGCCACUGCCAGUCCACAUGCAUUUUAUACAGGUGACACAGAACUCAUUCUGCUAUUCAAACAUCCAAGUAACUAUUAUUUUCUAUCUUUUAUGGACUUCAAACUAGUAUAUAGACAGUACGGUGCUCUCUUCUUGGUUGUUGGUAUCAGUGACACUGAGGUGAGAGUUCAUAAUUUUACUGUUAUGUGUAAAAAGUGUUAUUAGAUUAAGGUUGAGAUUUUAUUAUUGAGAGUAUUCAUGAUUCAUGGUGUAGGAUGUCUUUCUUUCCCACAGAAUGAACUGUCAGACAACUUUGAGGUUCUUGACAAGUACUUUGGUCAUGUGGUGAGUUCAGAGUCUUUUUGUUCACUACUUCAGCACAUUCUGGCUGUAUGCUAGAUUUACUGCAUGUCAACUAUUCAACCACCUGUGCAUAGCUCAGCAUUUCAAAGGUCAGCUUUUUCUGGGACAAAAACACAUUACUCUAAACUGAGCAUUCCCCAUUAGAGAAGCCAAUACUUUACAUUUAAGUUGUUUUCCAUUGGCAGAUGUAUCUUUGGUUUGCUUAAUGUAUCUCUAUUUUUCCUUUUGUAUUGAUGUGAAUAUUCUUGUAAUUACAGGGCUCAUCCGCAAAAGAGUCAUUGGUCUCAGCAUGACUCCCUGUUAAAAAUAAAGGUUAAAUAACUACAAUAAAAA